rnacentral:rRNA from 1 species
GACGAACGCUGGCGGCGUGCUUAACACAUGCGAGUCGAACGGAAAGGCCCUGCUUUUGUGGGGUGCUCGAGUGGCGAACGGGUGAGUAACACGUGAGUAACCUGCCCUUGACUUUGGGAUAACUUCAGGAAACUGGGGCUAAUACCGGAUAGGAGCUCCUGCUGCAUGGUGGGGGUUGGAAAGUCUCGGCGGUUGGGGAUGGACUCGCGGCUUAUCAGCUUGUUGGUGGGGUAGUGGCUUACCAAGGCUUUGACGGGUAGCCGGCCUGAGAGGGUGACCGGCCACAUUGGGACUGAGAUACGGCCCAGACUCCUACGGGAGGCAGCAGUGGGGAAUAUUGCACAAUGGGCGGAAGCCUGAUGCAGCAACGCCGCGUGCGGGAUGACGGCCUUCGGGUUGUAAACCGCUUUCGCCUGUGACGAAGCGUGAGUGACGGUAAUGGGUAAAGAAGCACCGGCUAACUACGUG